rnacentral:rRNA from 1 species
CCGGCCGUAAACUCUGGGUACUAGGUGUAGGGGGCUUCGAUGCCUUCUGUGCCGUAGUUAACGCAUUAAGUACCCCGCCUGGGGAGUACGAUCGCAAGGUUGAAACUCAAAGGAAUUGACGGGGGCCCGCACAAGCGGUGGAGCAUGUGGUUUAAUUCGAUGCAACGCGAAGAACCUUACCAGGGCUUGACAUCUACCUGAAGGCUUGUGGAAACGCAGGUUGUCUUUCGGGACAGGUAGACAGGUGG